rnacentral:rRNA from 1 species
GAGUUUGAUCCUGGCUCAGGACGAACGCUGGCGGCGCGCUUAACACAUGCAAGUCGAGCGAGAACCAGGGCUUCGGCCCUGGGGACAGCGGCGAACGGGUGAGUAACACGUGAGUAAUCUGCCCUCGGCAUCGGGAUAGCCCGGGGAAACCCGGAUUAAUACCGAAUGGCCCGCUUGCUCCUCGGAGCGAUCGGAAAAGGUAGCUUCGGCCUCUGGCCGAGGAUGAGCUCGCGGCGGAUUAGCUUGUUGGUGGGGUAACGGCCCACCAAGGCGACGAUCCGUAGCUGGUCUGAGAGGACGAUCAGCCACACUGGGACUGAGACACGGCCCAGACUCCUACGGGAGGCAGCAGUGGGGAAUCUUGCGCAAUGGGCGAAAGCCUGACGCAGCGACGCCGCGUGCGGGAAGAAGGCCUUCGGGUUGUAAACCGCUUUCAGGAGGGACGAAGCCACUCGGGUUAAUAGCCCAGAGGGUGACGGUACCUCCAGAAGAAGCCCCGGCUAACUACGUGCCAGCAGCCGCGGUAAUACGUAGGGGGCAAGCGUUGUCCGGAUUUAUUGGGCGUAAAGCGCGUGUAGGCGGCCUGACAGGUCCGUUGUGAAAACUGGAGGCUCAACCUCCAGCCGUCGAUGGAAACCGUCAGGCUAGAGUCCGGAAGAGGAGAGUGGAAUUCCCGGUGUAGCGGUGAAAUGCGCAGAUAUCGGGAAGAACACCCGUGGCGAAGGCGGCUCUCUGGGACGGUACUGACGCUGAGACGCGAAAGCUAGGGGAGCAAACAGGAUUAGAUACCCUGGUAGUCC